AGUGAACGCUGGCGGCAGGCCUAAUACAUGCAAGUCGAACGGCAGCACAGCAGAGCUUGCUCUGUGGGUGGCGAGUGGCGGACGGGUGAGGAAUACAUGGGAAUCUGCCCAGUCGUGGGGGAUAACGUAUGGAAACGUACGCUAAUACCGCAUGCGCCCUAAGGGGGAAAGCCGGGGACCGCAAGGCCUGGCGCGAUUGGAUGAGCCCAUGUUCCGAUUAGCUAGUUGGCGGGGUAAAGGCCCACCAAGGCGACGAUCGAUAGCUGGUCUGAGAGGAUGAUCAGCCACACUGGAACUGAGACACGGUCCAGACUCCUACGGGAGGCAGCAGUAGGGAAUAUUGGACAAUGGGGGCAACCCUGAUCCAGCCAUGCCGCGUGAGUGAAGAAGGCCCUCGGGUUGUAAAGCUCUUUUGUCCGGAAAGAAAGCAAUCGGUUAAUACCCGGUUGUCCUGACGGUACCGGAAGAAUAAGCACCGGCUAA
rnacentral:rRNA from 1 species